UUUUAAGAAUUAAAUCUAAUAAUUUUUUUUAUUAUAUUUAAAAAAAAUUUUUUUAAAAUUAUUUAGUUAAAAAAAUUAUUAUUUAAAUAAAUUAAUUUUUUGAUUAAAAAAUUAAAAAUAAAAAUUUAUUUUUUGUUCCUUUUGUAUCAGGAUUAAUUAAAUUAAAAAAUUAAUUUUUAAAUCUCGAAAUAAAAAAAUUUAAUUAAUUAUAAAAAUUAAUGUAAAAUUAUUAUUAAAAAUAAUUAAUUAGAAAUUAAAAGUUAAACCAUUUUUUUAUAUCUAGUUAUUUAAUAAAAAAAUUUAAUUUUUUUAUAAAUAUUAUUUUUUUUUAAUUUUUUUUUUAAUAAAAAUAAAUUUAUAAAAAAAAUUUUAGGGUUAAACUUAAAAUUUAAUUUAAAAUUGUUUUUUAAAUAUAUAAUAAAUAUUAUAAAAAUUAAAUUUUUUUUUAAUUAAAAAAAUUUUAUAAUUUAAAAAUAUAUUUAUAAAUUAAAUUUAAAUUUAAUUAUUUAUUAAAUUAAUUAAAUUAAUUAUUUUUUUAAAAAAAUAAUGAUUAAAUUAGUAAAUUUAAAAAAUUAUUAAAAAAUAUUUUAAAUUAGAAUUAAAUUUAAAAAAAUUAAUUAAGCAAAAUAAUUAUUCACCUGUUUAACAAAAACAUGUCUUAUAGAAUUUAAUUUUAAGUCAAAUCUGCCCACUGUAAUUUUAUAAAUGGCUGCAGUAUUCAUAACUGUACAAAGGUAGCAUAAUAAUUUGUUUUUUAAUUAAAAACUAGAAUGAAAGAUUUAAUGAAAUAAUAACUUUAUUUAUUUAAAAAAUUUAAUUUAUUAUUUUAGUAAAAAAACUAAAAUUUUUGAAAAAGACAAUAAGACCCUAUAGAAUUUUAUUUUUAAAAUUUAUUAUUUAAAAUUUUUUAAAUAUAUAAAUAUGUAAAAAUUUUAUUGGGGUAAUUAAAAAAUUUAUAGAAUUUUUUUAAUUUAUGACAUUAAUAAAUGAAUUAAUAUUUAAUUUUAAAUUUAUUUAAAUUAUUAAAAUUAAUUACCUUAGGGAUAACAGCAUAAUUUUUUUUAAAAGUUCUUAUUAAUAAAAAAGAUUAUGACCUCGAUGUUGAAUUAAGAUAAAAUUUUAUUGAAAAUUAUAAAAAUUUUGAGUCUGUUCGACUUUUAAAAUCUUACAUGAUUUGAGUUAAGAUCGGUGUAAGCCAGAUCAGAUUCUAUCUUUUUAUAGUAAAAUUUAUUUGUACGAAAGGAAUUUAAAUUUAAAAUAAUUUUUUUAUUAAUUUUAAUAAUUAUUUAUAAU
rnacentral:rRNA from 1 species